AGCGAGCGUGUCCGGAGUUACUGGGCGUAAAGCGCACGCAGGCGGUCUUUCGCGUUCGUGCCGACAGCGACUCGCCUAACGAGUCGAGGAGUACGGAAACGGGGAGGCUUGAGGGCCAGAGAGGGACACGGAACUCCGGGUGGAGUGGUGAAAUGCGUAGAGAUCCGGAAGAACACCAAAGGCGAAGGCAGUGUCCUGGUUGGUACCUGACGCUCAGAGGCGACAGCUAGGGGAGCGAACGGGAUUAGAUACCCCGGUAGUCCUAGCCGUAAACGAUGACCACGAGAUGUCCGGGGGAUCGACCCCCUGGGUGUCGAAGCAAACGCAGUCAGUGGUCCGCCUGGGGAGUACGGUCGCAAGAUUAAAACUCAAAGGAAUUGACGGGGACCCGCACAAGCAGCAGAGCGUGUGGUUUAAUUCGAUGCAACGCGAAGCACCUUACCAGGGUUUGACAUGUCUUCGCACCACCAGGAGACUGGUGUACCCGCAAGGGACGGAGACACAGGUGCUGCAUGGCUGUCGUCAGCUCGUGCCGUGAGGUGUUGGGUUAAGUCCCGCAACGAGCGCAACCCUCAUUGCUAGUUGAAUUUCUCUAGCGAGACCGCCACGAUCAACGUGGAGGAAGGUGGGGAUGACGUCAAGUCAGCACGGCCCUUACAUCCUGGGCGACACACACGCUACAAUGGUCGAGACAAUGAGUUGCCAACCCGCGAGGGGGAGCUAAUCUCAGCAAACUCGGUCUCAGUUCAGAUUGCAGGCUGCAACCCGCCUGCAUGAAGUCGGAGUUGCUAGUAACCGUGAGUCAGCACAUCACGGUGAUACGUUCCCGG
rnacentral:rRNA from 1 species